AGCUCGAUAAGGUAUCGCACCUUAGGCCUACAUAUCUUGUCUGGAACAAGAAUCAGAGCCACUGUAGUUCGGCUUACGCACGCCAAACAACACAAAACAAACAAACAAGCAAGGGUGGCAAACAUGGAGCCCGACAACCACUGGAUGGAAUUACGUCGGCAUCCGAACCAAAACACACUCAAAAGGCAAACGUGGAGCCCGACAGCCAAUCACUGGGCUUAUGUC
rnacentral:lncRNA from 1 species